rnacentral:ncRNA from 1 species
AGAUGUGCUCGUAGAGUAACGAGCAGGGUAAACAAAGAAUGCUCAUUAAGA